CCUACGGGAGGCAGCAGUGGGGAAUAUUGGACAAUGGGCGAAAGCCUGAUCCAGCCAUGCAGCGUGAGUGAAGAAGGCCUUAGGGUUGUAAAGCUCUUUCAGCGGGGAAGAUAAUGACGGUACCUGCAGAAGAAGGUGCGGCCAACUACGUGCCAGCAGCCGCGGUAAU
rnacentral:rRNA from 1 species